rnacentral:misc_RNA from 1 species
GAUGAAGAACGCAGCGAAAUGCGAUAAGUAAUGUGAAUUGCAGAAUUCAGUGAAUCAUCGAAUCUUUGAACGCACAUUGCGCCCGCCAGUAUUCUGGCGGGCAUGCCUGUUCGAGCGUCAUUACAACCCUCAGGCCCCCGGGCCUGGCGUUGGGGAUCGGCGGAAGCCCCCUGCGGGCACAACGCCGUCCCCCAAAUACAGUGGCGGUCCCGCCGCAGCUUCCAUUGCGUAGUAGCUAACACUUCGCAACUGGAGAGCGGCGCGGCCAUGCCGUAAAACACCCAACUUCUGAAUGUUGACCUCGAAUCAGGUAGGAAUACCCGCUGAACUUAAGCAUAUCAAUAAGCGGAGGA